UUGCGCUGUCCGUUACAGUUUAGGUCACUUUACCACAAAAUUAGACAAAAAAAGUUCACACAAAUGACACCAUAGGACAAACAGAAGUGUUAAAAAGUGUGCCACGACAUUACGAACUAUACUCCUCCUCCGUUCGACACUACAGGGAUGUUUCAUUGCUCAUGCUCCCACAAAGCUUUGCAGGAGACCAUACAAUGAAAUUUAGAACGUUUUUUUACGUUUCGGCGCCAUUUUCGAUUGGACUGGAGGAGCUCAUUCCAUGUAAAUCCACACUUUGUAUUUAUCUAUAUCAAGUUUCAAGCAGCACGGCCCUCGUUGCCCAAAGGGAGUGGAGAAGGACAAGCAUGCCGAGGCCUGUCUGAAGAUAAGUUUUGCACCGCACAAUCUCUAAUCUAUUGUCCCAUCAACGUACCGCAGGGGGCGCUAGGGACCCAGGUUAAUAUUGCGAGUGAACGCCAUUUCAAGUUGUAUGCUUUUAUUGAACAAUAAACUAAAUACUUUGA